rnacentral:rRNA from 1 species
UCCAGACUCCUACGGGAGGCAGCAGUGGGGGAUAUUGCACAAUGGGGGGAACCCUGAUGCAGCGACGCCGCGUGGGUGAAGGAGCGUUUCGGCGCGUAAAGCCCUAUCGGCAGGGAAGAAGGAGGACGGUACCUGACUAAGAAGCCCCGGCUAACUACGUGCCAGCAGCCGCGGUAAUACGUGGGGGGCAAGCGUUAUCCGGAUUUACUGGGUGUAAAGGGGGCGCAGACGGCAGCGCAAGCCAGGAGUGAAAGCCCGGGGCCCAACCCCGGGACUGCUCUUGGAACUGCGCGGCUGGAGUGCAGGAGGGGCAGGCGGAAUUCCUGGUGUAGCGGUGAAAUGCGUAGAUAUCAGGAGGAACACCGGUGGCGAAGGCGGCCUGCUGGACUGCGACUGACGUUGAGGCCCGAAAGCGUGGGGAGCAAACAGGAUUAGAUACCCGGGUAAGC